GUUGUGUUGUCAAGUGAUAAGGCCGUGAAACCCCCAAAACCCCAGACUUCUCUCUGCUCACCCAGCAAUGGCGUACAACCUCACAGCCCCGCCUUCGUCUUCUCUCUUCUCCGAAACCAGUCUAUUCUGCACCUAUCUCUCCCCUCCUAAGCUCUCACAUCUCAGAAUCCCCACAAAUCUCAACUUUCCUCCCAAACUCCAACGCCCAAAACUCUCCUUUCAUGUCUCCGCUGAAGUCUCAUUGCAGGAACCUCUCCUCAACGCAGUCGGUCAAGAUUCUGAAAUCCCAAACCAAAAGUCGGUUCCUCCAUCCAAAUCGUUCGUUUGGGUCAACCCCAAAAACCCCAAAGCCUCAAAAUUGAUGAAGACAUCUCGUGAUUUAAGGUAUGCUUCAUUACUGAAAAUCGCAGAAUCUUUAAAUUCUUGCGCUCCGUUAGAUGAUACUAUUUCGGGAGUGUUAGGUGUUCUUGGGGAUAAUAUAGUAGAGCAGGAGGCCGUGGUUAUUUUGAACAACAUGUCUAAUAGCGAAACUGCGCCAUUAGUGCUCGAUUACUUUCUGAAGAGGUUGAAGAUGAUUAGAGAAGUAGUUUUGUAUAAUGUGACUCUGAAAGUUUUUAGGAAGUGUAAGGAAUUGGGCAAGGCGGAGAGUUUGUUCAGUUUGAUGCUUGAGAGGGGGGUUAAGCCCGAUAAUGUUACAUUCUCGACUAUCAUUAGCUGCGCCAGGCUGUCGUCUUUGCCUGAGAAGGCCGUCGAGUGGUUUGAGAAGAUGUCGUCGUUUGGGUGUGAGCCUGAUAAGGUGACUUGCUCGGUGAUGAUUGAUGUGUACGGGAGAGUGGGCAAUGUGGCCGUUGCUUUGAGUAUGUAUGAUCGUGCAAGGAGCGAGAAAUGGCGUCUCGAUCCCGUGACAUUCUCCACCUUGAUUAGGAUCUAUAGGUCGGAGAGUAAUUAUGAUGGGUGUUUGAAUUUGUACGAGGAGAUGAAGGCGUUGGGGGUUAAGGCGAAUGCCUCUGUGUAUAAUGCACUCUUGGAUGCUAUGGGAAGAGCAAAGAGGCCGUGGCAGGCGAAGACUAUUUAUAGGCAGAUGCUUAAGAAUGGAGUUGAGCCGACUUGGGGAACUUAUGCUGCAUUGAUUAGGGCGUAUGGUAGGGCUCGAUAUGGCAUAGAUGCGCUUGCUGUUUAUAAGGAGAUGAAGGAGAAGGGCUUGGAGCUGAAUGUUCUUUUGUAUAAUACGCUGUUGGCCACAUGUGCUGAUGUAGGGUUUACUGAUGAAGCUGCCGAGAUUUUUGAGGAUAUGAAGCGCUCGGGGACCUGCAAGCCCGAUAGCUGGACGUAUGCUUCUUUGAUUACAAUAAAUUCUUGCAGUGGGAAAGUUGAGGAGGCGGAGGCCACGUUGAAAGAAAUGUUGGAGGGUGGUUUUGUGGCUAACAUCUUCAUCUUGACCUCAAUGAUCCAGUGCUACGGGAAAGCUGGUCGUAUAGAUGAUGUUGUGAGGACUUUUGAUCAGUUGUUGGAGUCGGGCAUAGUUCCUGAUGCGCGAUUCUCUGGUAGUCUUCUCAAUGUAAUGACCCAAGCACCAAAGGAAGAACUUGGGAAGCUGACUACAUGCAUUGAGAAGGCUCACCCGAAGCUUGGUUAUGUAGUAAAACUCGUUCUUGAUGAAGAAGAUACAGACCGAGAAAUCUUCAGAAAGGAAGUUGGUGAGCUCUUGGAAUCUAUUGGUACUGAUGUUAAAAAGGCAUACUGCAAUUGCUUGAUUGAUCUCUGUGCUAGCCUAAAUCAGCUAGAGAGAGCUUGUGAGUUGCUAGACCUCGGCCUUGCGCUCGAAAUAUACACGGAUAUCAUGUCCAAGACCCCAACACAGUGGUCUUUGCACUUGAAGAGCCUCUCUCUCGGGGCGGCCUUGACUGCCCUGCAUGUUUGGAUGAAGGAUUUGUCGAAGGCACUUGAAAAUGGGGAGGAAUUCCCAGAGUUACUCGGGAUUAACACAGGACACGGAAAGCACAAGUUUUCUGAGAGAGGUCUGGCAGGAACUUUCGAGCCACAUCUGAAGGAACUGAACGCCCCAUUUCAUGAGGCGCCAGACAAGCUUGGCUGGUUUCUGACGACAAAGGUUGCAGCGAUAUCAUGGCUGGAGUCGAGGAAUUCCCAAGAAGCAGUUUUGGCUUAGUCAGAUGUCUAAGGUUGUUGCUACUUUCUAUACUUCCAUUAGCUGAAUGUCAACUAUAUAUAAUAAAUUAAGGUUGACAAGAUGUGGGACUCCAGUGAGCUGACUUUCCUGUUUCAAAGUCAUCUGCACUUUAUAAAAUUCUUGGUUCAAGGGAUGUUGCUGCAGGAGUUUGACUAUAACAAGAUUUAUAUAUAAGUUGAGCUCAUGCCAAGUGCUUCUCAUUCAAAAAUGGGGAACUGCAUUGGAGCUUCAAGUAUCAAGUUCUGCAGGAGAAAGUUGUCAUCGUCCUCGUCUCGGAGAGAUGAGGUCGAACUUCUGAUACACAAGCGCGGCAGCAGCAACGUCAUCGGAAUACCUAAAAGAGUGAAGAUAGUGGUGAACAAGAAGCAGUUGGAGAGGCUAAUGGCGAGCAUGGAGGAGGUGCAGUCGAGACGUAUGAUGCUGCAGUCGUUGCUCAGACGAUCAAGGAAAUGGAGGCCGUCAUUGGCUGCAAUUCCAGAGCUGUAGGAGAGGGAGAAGAUAUGUUUUCUGCUUUCUUUGUUUUUCUUUUCUUUGCUGCGCAGCUUUGCCGUUUUCCAUGGGUGGCUGCAUUGCUCCUUUUUUUAGUUUUGGACUUUAAACAGGCUCGGCUACAAAUCUUGGCUGAAAAUGUAUAUAUUAAUGCUCUGCAGAUUGCCGCUCUUGUUUAGGUAGAAUAUCCAUUUAUAGAUAUUAUUAUUAUCAUUAAUCUAUCAACUUAUUUAUUUAUUUUAUCA